ACACCGGCAGCUCUAGUGGUAACAAUUUUUAUUGGGCCUAAAGCGUCCGUAGCCGGUUUAAUAAGUCUCUGGUGAAAUCCUGUAGCUUAACUGUGGGAAUUGCUGGAGAUACUAUUAGACUUGAGACCGGGAGAGGUUAGAGGUACUCCCAGGGUAGAGGUGAAAUUCUGUAAUCCUGGGAGGACCGCCUGUUGCGAAGGCGUCUAACUGGAACGGUUCUGACGGUGAGGGACGAAAGUUAGGGGCGCGAACCGGAUUAGAUACCCGGGUAGUCCUAACUGUAAACGAUGCGGACUUGGUGUUGGGGUGGCUUUGAGCUGCUCCAGUGCCGAAGGGAAGCUGUUAAGUCCGCCGCCUGGGAAGUACGGUCGCAAGACUGAAACUCAAAUGAAUUGACGGGG
rnacentral:rRNA from 1 species